rnacentral:lncRNA from 1 species
AAAAAAAAUGGCAGGAAAAAGCUACACAUUGCAGUGAGGCAUAACUGCUUUUGGCAGGUUUUUCUGAAACUGCUGAUGAAAUAACGGAGCCCAGUACAUAGAGGCCUUCGGAGCCCACGGCCAUUCAGGCCUGUUCCGUGGGAGUCUGUCUGUCUGUCCGUCUGCUGCGCUGGGGCUGUCCCUACCUUCCAUGCAUUCUCAGGUUGCUCGCCUUUGGAAAGUGCCAUGAAACAGAGGCUUGGGGAAUUCAUGCGCUCCAGAACCUCUCUGGUUCCUCUGCUUCGAGGGCUGACUGCUUUCGGAGGUUUCUGAGGCGACUGAAGACUGCUGCCGAGCACCAUCCUUUAUCCCGCCUCUUCUUUGCAGCGCCUCCUACUGGAGACCCCGCAGCGUGCGGCAAGUUCAAAAGCAGGGUUACCAUGAGAUGAGAACAGACUCUGCUCAGUUCAGUUUGGAGACCAAAACUGAAAAGGUAACUGGGGACUGCCAAUAUUUUGGCCCCGGCUCCUCAAGUCAACAAAGAUCCAGGACAUGAGCCAACCUUCUCUACAGGGUCCUACAUCUUUGGAAUGAUUGAGGGCAUUCACCAGCCAGACAGUCACGGAGUUCAUCAUAGCAGGGUACCAGCCAGUAUGACAAAAGGAAGAGGUCCCCACUUGCCACCGGCCUCAUGAG